rnacentral:lncRNA from 1 species
ACCGCGCGGCCGCCAGCGCCCGGGAGCGCGUCUCGGGCUGGAGCUCAGGAAAGGCCGAGAAAUGCACCGGCCAACGGCCAUCCGCUCUCCCAGAGUCCCCGAGGCCCCGCACUCCUGCUACUCCGCGUGAUUUUGUCGCCCCCUGCGGCCACCGGGCCCGUGCCUCUCUUCUCCCUGGAGCCCCUCGACUCAGCUUGAAGCCCCAGGUAUGUGGUUUGACUUAGAUCGGGCCUCCUCUCCCCCAGUGUCGCCAGCAUCCCGCGUUUCCUGUCCGAGGCGCAGAGCUAGCGCCUAAGGUGCUAGAAGAGAGAGGAUGAUUUGCGGGGUGCGCUGUGGCGCGGCCAGGCCGGGAGAACAGGGGCCCCCUGGGAAACUGGGAGAGCCCCAAACUUCCUAAAAUGCCUACUCUUCUAGACCUAGUCUGGGGUGCUGGGACUCAAGACACGGCCCAGGAACUCAGUCUGGCCGGGAGACUGCUGUGCCGGCAGCACCCCACAGAGAGCCUAGUGCUGAGGCAUCUGAUCUGGGACGGGUGGCCUGGACAACCUCUCCAUAGAGAGGUCAGAUGUGAGGUGGCCUUUGAGAAAGUUAGGAUUUAAUUCCUGAUCACUGUUGGUCAUUUGAGGCUGGCUGUCCUUCUGGUCACCUUACCUGGAUCUUCUGUUGUCUUUGUGUAACGUGACCCACCAGGAAGCUGUCUUAAUCGAUUUCUCCAAAAACCUCUACCUAAAAACUUGGGUCAGCCUGCCUGCCUGGUCCAGUCUCUCUGCUAAGGGCCAGACCCACAUCUCAACUUUCCAGCUGCUUGCCAGACUUGCCACAAACACUGCAACUCCCAAAGGCCCCAGACUGAAUGAGCACUGGACCCCUUGGCCAGUUGCAUCUCAGCUUCCUCAUUCCUGAGACCAACACAUCUACCUCCCCAGCCCCUAGCUCUGAACACUUAACUCCUUCUUGUCUCCUUUUCCUUUCUUCUCUUUGAGUCAGGUAUUGAGUUGAUCUCAAAUGCCCUAAUUCCACAUGACCCCAGUCUGGUGGUUUUCCAGCAGAGAUUCCAUGCUGCUUCCCCUGCUCUGGUAGGACUUGGCAAAAAGUUCUUUUAGGAGCUCCUUGAGCUCUCGCCUCUGGAUUUAUCUUCCAUGCAGGCACUGGCUCUGCCACCUAGCCCACAGCUGACACUAACCCUGCUAAGGUUCCUGGGGUGUGGCCACUCCCAGGGGCUGGCUGGACUGCCAGAGGCUCCCUGCAGCCAGACAAGUGUGAAAACUCUCUGCUCUUUGAGCUGAGGCCCCAAAACACACUAAAGGAGCUAGACCUUUCUGGCAUAACAGGUUCUGCAAAGAGCACAGGGUGAGCGACCUGCAUGGGUAUCAGGUGCUCGGCUUACCACUAAAAAAGCAUCCUUGAGGAGUUCUCGUCGUGGCUCAGUGGUUAAUGAAUCUGACUAAGAACCAUGAGGGUGCAGGUUCAACCCCUGGCCUUACUCAGUGGGUUAAGGAUCCGGCGUUGCCGUGAGCUGUGGUGUAGGUUGCAGAUGAGGCUUGGAUCCUGUGUUGCUGUGGCUGUGGUGUAGGCCGGCGGCUACAGCUCUGAUUAGACCCCUAGCAUGGGAACCUCCACAUGCCGCAAAUGCGGCCUUAGAAAAAAAAGACCAAAAAAAAAAAAAAAAGCAUCCUUGAGACAAGUUAAGGUCAAUAAGAAAAUGUACACAUAUUUUCUUAUCCAGUUGAGCUGUUUUCAUUGAGUGAACUCAGAAUCCUUUGUUAGUAAUUCAAAUAUAAGAUAGAAUUUUCAAGGCCUUUUUUGAGGAAACAUCUUUGUAUUCAAACAGUUACCCAUUCCUGUAGAUGCAGCAGAAGUCAACAUGGGUGGCAUGAGCCAGAGUAAACAGGGCUUACAAGCUCAGAUCAGAAAGCUAGGAAGAGGAGUUCCCAUCUUGGCACAGCGGAAACAAAUCCAACUAGGAACCAUGAGACUGCAGGUUUGAUUCCUGGCCCCGUGAUCUAUGAUGUAGGUCACAGACAUGGCUCCAAUCCAGCAUGCCUGUGGUGUAGGCCAGUAGCCAUAGCUCCUAUGCCACUGGUACAGCCCUAAAAAGCAAAAAAAAAAAAAAAAAAAAAAAG